CGGAGGGUGCAAGCGUUAUCCGGAUUCACUGGGUUUAAAGGGUGCGUAGGUGGGUUGGUAAGUCAGUGGUGAAAUCUCCGUGCUUAACAUGGAAACUGCCAUUGAUACUACUAGUCUUGAAUUUUCUGGAGGUAAGCGGAAUAUGUCAUGUAGCGGUGAAAUGCUUAGAUAUGACAUAGAACACCAAUUGCGAAGGCAGCUUACUACAGGGAUAUUGACACUGAGGCACGAAAGCGUGGGGAUCAAACAGGAUUAGAUACCCUGGUAGUCCACGCCCUAAACGAUGGAUACUCGACAUUUGCGAUACACAGUAAGUGUCUGAGCGAAAGCAUUAAGUAUCCCACCUGGGAAGUACGACCGCAAGGUUG
rnacentral:rRNA from 1 species